ACGAACGCUGGCGGCGUGCCUAAUACAUGCCAGUAGAACGCUGAAGGAGGAGCUUGCUUCUCUGGAUGAGUUGCGAACGGGUGAGUAACGCGUAGGUAACCUGCCUGGUAGCGGGGGAUAACUAUUGGAAACGAUAGCUAAUACCGCAUAAGAGUAGAUGUUGCAUGACAUUUGCUUAAAAGGUGCAAUUGCAUCACUACCAGAUGGACCUGCGUUGUAUUAGCUAGUUGGUGGGGUAACGGCUCACCAAGGCGACGAUACAUAGCCGACCUGAGAGGGUGAUCGGCCACACUGGGACUGAGACACGGCCCAGACUCCUACGGGAGGCAGCAGUAGGGAAUCUUCGGCAAUGGACGGAAGUCUGACCGAGCAACGCCGCGUGAGUGAAGAAGGUUUUCGGAUCGUAAAGCUCUGUUGUAAGAGAAGAACGAGUGUGAGAGUGGAAAGUUCACACUGUGACGGUAUCUUACCAGAAAGGGACGGCUAACUACGUG
rnacentral:rRNA from 1 species